rnacentral:rRNA from 1 species
AUUGAACGCUGGCGGCAUGCUUUACACAUGCAAGUCGAACGGCAGCGCGGGCUUCGGCCUGGCGGCGAGUGGCGAACGGGUGAGUAAUACAUCGGAACGUGCCCAGCAGUGGGGGAUAGCUCGGCGAAAGCCGGAUUAAUACCGCAUACGACCUGAGGGUGAAAGCGGGGGAUCUUCGGACCUCGCGCCAUUGGAGGGGCCGAUGGCAGAUUAGCUAGUUGGUGGGGUAAAGGCCUACCAAGGCGACGAUCUGUAGCUGGUCUGAGAGGACGACCAGCCACACUGGGACUGAGACACGGCCCAGACUCCUACGGGAGGCAGCAGUGGGGAAUUUUGGACAAUGGGCGAAAGCCUGAUCCAGCAAUGCCGCGUGUGUGAAGAAGGCCUUCGGGUUGUAAAGCACUUUUGGCGGGAACGAAAAGGACUGUGCCAAUACCACGGUUCGAUGACGGUACCCGCAGAAUAAGCACCGGCUAACUACGUG